UACGGGGGGGGGCAAGCGUUGUUCGGAAUUACUGGGCGUAAAGGGCGCGUAGGUGGCGACCCAAGUCGAUGGUGAAAGCUCGCCGCUCAACGGCGAGUCGGCCACCGAUACUGGGUUGCUGGAGCACUGUAGAGGCAGAUGGAAUUCCGGGUGGUAGCGGUGGAAUGCGUAGAGAUCCGGAAGAACACCGGUGGCGAAGGCGGUCUGCUGGGCAGUUGCUGACACUGAGGCGCGACAGCGUGGGGAGCAAACAGGG
rnacentral:rRNA from 1 species